AAUUGAGAACUGUAUGUGCAAGUCUAGCUCCGAAUACUUUUUCCAUUUUGGUGAUACUUAAAGAUAUUUGAUAAAAUGUGAACGAGCCAGGCUCAUGAGGGUUGAGAAAUGAAAUAUGUCAGCAAGAUGCUGUCGUAGUCUGAGUUUAUAUCACAGUUAUUAAGAAUUAAUCACUGCUAAUUAACUUUUUUUUUCCCCCCAUCUCAGCACUCGCUCAGGCACCUAUCCACCUCCCGGAUGAGCUCCCUGCACCAGCCCAAGAGCUUCUGGAUGAAAUUGAUUCUGAUCGAAUUAAAAUGGAAGGCAUAGAAGCAAAAGAAGAAAUUGAGAUAAGCGAGAAGUGUGAUUGUGGUGUGUGGACUGUGGAGACAUUUAAUCUAGCAGAGGAAACAGAAAGGGCUCACUCUACUCUUGAUGAUGCUUUAGAAAGAGUUCUCUGUGCUGCUUCUCCAGAUGAGCAAAUUGAAGAACAACAGCAAGAUGAGGAAAUUCAGGGAUAUGCUCUUGGGGCUGCGAGCCUGAGAGAUCCACGAGGUGUUGGAAGGAAGAAGGGAGUAGAGGAAGGUGGAGCCAGGGCACGAAGCAAUGAGGCAGAUGGCUGUGCUGAGAGUUCAGAAGGCAAGCACUCUGAAGUUCAGAAAUUCCGCUUACGGAAGCAGCAGUCCUCAACUUCUCCAUUCAGGGUAAUUGUUUUGGAUCAGAACGGUUCUCCUAUGUGAUUAGAAUGGAUAGUGAAUACAUCUUAAUACAUCAGCUGCUUACUGCUGCUGGUACAGUAUUCAGCCUGUGAGCUGCAGCCCUUUUUUGGUCACAAAGACUUCUAAUGCUCAGACUUCUUCUAUCUGCAGCAGCAAGUACUGAAAAAAAUCAUAGUGCUUUACUUCAUAGUGCAUUUUAUAUUGUUUUUUGCCACUGUUUCAUAUCAGUUAUACUGCAGAGGUGAUCUGUGUUCUGAAGAGAGCAACCUUAGUAAGCUGGCUGUUUGUUUUUCUGUAUGCACACUUUCAUAAGCAAAAUAAUUUUUUUGCUCUUUUGCAUUACACAGUUUUCAGUGUUACAGACAAAAUGACAAUAAUUCUGUGAACUGCUGUUACUGCUCAGACUCAUCUAAUUUUUCCUUGCUGGAGUGUGGAGCGCUGUGUUGCAGCCUACGUGGUGUAUGUUUUUCUUUGCUCAUUAAAUUUAACAAGGGUAAUUUCUUGUUUUCUUUUCUCUUAGUGCUUUUGUGAUCUAGUGUUGAACUGAUUUGACUGAUAAAGGGGAUUAAUUGCUGUGCAGAAAGUUAAUGAGAAAAAAGCAGUGUUCUUUCAGAGAUGCAACUGCACCAAUAUUUUCCCUGUCAGCAUUCAACAAGAAUAUUGAAAAGUUAGCAUUACUGAGAUAGCUGUUGUUUAAUUAAACCACACUUCUGUGGUCCAGAAAAGGUCCCUGGGAAGUAACUGACUUUUGGAUCAGCUUUUGAUGGGCACAGCGAGUUCAUGUUUAACUGUUCUUGUGAUUAAAACUGUCCAGGUGCAGGAUGUGCAAGGGUUGUCCUUAUCUCUAUUGAACACAGUGCAGUUCUAUGGGCAUUCUUACAGUUUUGUGUACCAUGUGUUUCUCAUCCAUCCUUGAUGAAGGAGGGAAAUUUUGCCUAUCUGUGACUGUUAAUUUGGUUUAAUGAUACUAAUAAAAAUGUCUAAG
ensembl:lncRNA